rnacentral:rRNA from 1 species
GACGAACCGUGCAAACGUUAUUCGGAAUCACUGGGCAUAAAGGGCGCGUAGGCGGCUCCAAAAGUCAGGGGUGAAAUCCGGCAGCUUAACUGUCGCAGUGCCUUUGAUACUGUGGAGCUAGAGGGAGGUAGGGUUCUGUGGAACUUCCGGUGGAGCGGUGAAAUGCGUUGAUAUCGGAAGGAACGCCGGUGGCGAAAGCGACGGACUGGAUCUCUUCUGACGCUGAGGCGCGAAAGCCAGGGGAGCAAACGGG